CCCAGACUCCUACGGGAGGCAGCAGUGGGGGAUAUUGCACAAUGGGGGGAACCCUGAUGCAGCGACGCCGCGUGGAGGAAGAAGUAUCUCGGUAUGUAAACUCCUAUCAGCAGGGAAGAAAGAAGACGGUACCUGACUAAGAAGCCCCGGCUAACUACGUGCCAGCAGCCGCGGUAAUACGUAGGGGGCGAGCGUUAUCCGGAUUUACUGGGUGUAAAGGGAGCGUAGACGGUGAAGCAAGUCUGAAGUGAAAGGCGGGGGCUCAACCCCCGGACUGCUUUGGAAACUGUUUGACUGGAGUGCAGGAGAGGUAAGUGGAAUUCCUAGUGUAGCGGUGAAAUGCGUAGAUAUUAGGAGGAACACCAGUGGCGAAGGCGGCUUACUGGACUGUAACUGACGUUGAGGCUCGAAAGCGUGGGGAGCAAACAGGAUUAGAUACCCGUGUAUA
rnacentral:rRNA from 1 species